UUAAUUGAAACCAAAAUAGAGGUAUAUCACUGUUAAUGAUAUUAUUGAAUGAAACUCCAAUUAAA
rnacentral:tRNA from 1 species